rnacentral:rRNA from 1 species
UACGGAGGGUGCAAGCGUUGUCCGGAUUUAUUGGGUUUAAAGGGUGCGUAGGCGGCUCUUUAAGUCAGUGGUGAAAGCCUCCAGCUUAACUGGAGAACAGCCAUUGAUACUGAAGAGCUUGAGUACAGACGAAGUAGGCGGAAUUUAUGGUGUAGCGGUGAAAUGCAUAGAUACCAUAAAGAACUCCUAUUGCGAAGGCAGCUUACUAGGCUGUAACUGACGCUGAGGCACGAAAGCGUGGGGAUCAAACAGG